UAUUUACAUAGCUGAUAAAUGAAAAAGUGGCCUUGUUUGCUAUUGGUUAAUAGUAUUUCGUUUACCGAUUGCUCUCACUUCCGUUAUUGUAAUAACAUGCACAUUUAAGCGCGUUUUGAGAAGUAUGACAGGGGUUAUGGAAGAUUUCCGAAAACGAGAUAACCAUGUUAAAAAACCCUGCCAUUUACGAGAAGUGGCGAAAUUUCACCUGGAUUCUUUUAAUUAUAUGAUAAAAGAAGCGUUGGCUGAUGCCUGUAUGAUUGUUGCCUCAGAUAGUGCUGCCAAAAAAAAAAAAAAAAAAGGGAAGCCAGGCUCCAUUGAAAUUAGAAAGAAAUCAUGGAUAAACAUAAGCAUGGUGUAAAAGUGAUGGAAUUGGUGAAGACAUAUGUUCGACAUCGACGAUCUGUGCUAUUCUGAAAAAGAAGGAAGAAAUUGAGAAACUUG
rnacentral:misc_RNA from 1 species